rnacentral:ncRNA from 1 species
AUAUAAAUAAAAAUUUAUGAUUUAAAAAAAUUUUUUUUAAGUUUAUUUUACAUAUAAAUUAUAGUAUUAAUUUUUAAUUAUUUUAAUAAUUUUUAAUUUAUUUUGUAGUAAUUAACAUUAAAAAUUUAAGAAAUUAAGAUUUAGUAAUAUUAAAAUUAAUAACAAAUUUUGUGCCAGCAGUUGCGGUUAUACAAAGGUUAAAUUAAAUUUUAUUAGUUGUUAAUAAUUAUAGUUAAAUUUAAUUUAAAUAUUAAAUUAUUAAGUGAAAUUUUAAUUUAAUUAAAAAUUAAGAAAAAUAUGAUUUAAUAAAUUUUUAUGUAAACUAGGAUUAGAUACCCUAUUAUUGAAAAAUUAAAUUUAAACACUAAAAUAGUAUAUAAUUAUUUAUUGAAACUUAAAUAAUUUGGCGGUAUUUUAGUUCAUUUAGAGGAAUCUGUUUAUUAAUUGAUAAUCCACGAAUAAUUUUACUUAAUUAAAAAUUUUGUAUAUCGUUGUUAAAAAAAUAUUUUUAAAAAAUUUUAAUAUUUUAAAUUUUUUUAUAAAAAUUAAAUCAGAUCAAGAUGCAGGUUAUAUUUAAGAAUAUAAUGGAUUACAAUAAAUUUAUUUAUAUGAAUAUUUAAUUGAAAUAUUAAAUUAAAAGUGGAUUUAAAUGUAAUUUUAUUUAAUUUAUUAAAAUGAUUAAAAAUUAAAAUAUGUACAUAUUGCCCGUCGCUUUCAUUUAUAAAUUGAAAUAAGUCGUAACAAAGUAGAGGUACUGGAAAGUGUUUCUAGAAAGA